GGCGCGGGACGUGCUUGAACGCUCUUACAAGGCGAAGGUCGGGGGUUCGAGUCCCUCAGCGCCA
rnacentral:tRNA from 1 species